rnacentral:rRNA from 1 species
CUACGGGAGGCAGCAGUGAGGAAUAUUGGUCAAUGGGCGCGAGCCUGAACCAGCCAAGUAGCGUGGAGGACGACGGCCCUACGGGUUGUAAACUCCUUUUAUAAGGGGAUAAAGUUGGCCAUGUAUGGCCAUUUGCAGGUACCUUAUGAAUAAGCAUCGGCUAAUUCCGUGCCAGCAGCCGCGGUAAUACGGAAGAUGCGAGCGUUAUCCGGAUUUAUUGGGUUUAAAGGGAGCGUAGGCGGGCAGUCAAGUCAGCGGUCAAAUGGCGCGGCUCAACCGCGUUCCGCCGUUGAAACUGGCAGCCUUGAGUAUGCACAGGGUACAUGGAAUUCGUGGUGUAGCGGUGAAAUGCUUAGAUAUCACGAGGAACUCCGAUCGCGCAGGCAUUGUACCGGGGCAUUACUGACGCUGAGGCUCGAAGGUGCGGGUAUCAAACAGGAUUAGAUACCCUGGUAGUCCGCACAGUAAACGAUGAAUGCCCGCUGUCGGCGACAUAGUGUCGGCGGCCAAGCGAAAGCGUUAAGCAUUCCACCUGGGGAGUACGCCGGCAACGGUGAAACUCAAAGGAA